rnacentral:lncRNA from 1 species
UAUUUUCCUCUCCCUCUUUUCCCUCUCUCCAUCAGCCUCACUCUCUCUCUUGACUUUGCUUUUCCUUUGGUAUUUCCUUGUCCAUCUCUCUUCCAUUUCUAGACUUUCACCAUCUUCCACAAAACGUGGGAGUUCCAUCAAAGAGAGACACAUUCAAAAACCACAACUCUAUAUGAAAAGAAUCUCCAUUAAGGUAUGUUGGCUUCUUUAAUUUCAUGAUAUUUGGUCAGUUUUAAAAUAAUCUACAUGCUCUUAAUGUGAGUGAUCAUAGAUUAGCCCUCUCUCAUUGAUUUACUCUUAGUUUGAGUAUAGCUCUACUUUUGAAGUAUUCAUAAUCUAAGUUUCAUUUGUCUAGCAUCAAAUGAUCGGCCGAA